ACUCCAUUCUCACUAAGAGGGCGGCUUCCGCCUCGUGCACUAGGAAAUACGUACCGCCCUCGACCAGUGAGUUGGCGAAUGAAAUUUAAAUGCCCCUGUGCCUGAUGGCUCAACGGAACUAUAUGAGGCAGCUUCAUUUUCAUUUUUUCGGCGGGAAUCUCCCAGCGUUCCUCCUCCCAGUUAAUCUCGUUCCACUCCAUGUGGCGAAUCUCGCCGGGCCGUUGAAAGAGCAGGGCGGAUAGUUGAAGGGCUGUUUUAACGGCAGGUGUCCCCUGAAAUGAAUCGAUUGCCACCAAUAACGCUCCAGCUUCCGCGGGGU
rnacentral:rRNA from 1 species